rnacentral:rRNA from 1 species
GAUGAACGCUGGCGGCGUGCCUAACACAUGCAAGUCGAGCGGCAGCGAGGGGUGCUUGCACCAUGCCGGCGAGCGGCGGACGGCUGAGUAACGCGUGGGAACGUGCCCCAAAGUGAGGAAUAAUUGCCCGAAAGGGUAGCUAAUACCGCAUAUUAUCUCCGCAUCACAGGAUUUAUCCGCUUUGGGAGCGGCUCGCGUCGGAUUGCGUAGUUGGUGAGGUAAUGGCUCACCAAGCCGACGACCCGUGGCUGGGCUGAGAGGAUGACCAGCCAGACAGGAACUGCGACACGUUCCAGACUACUACGGAAGGCAGCGGUGAGGAGUCUUCCGCGCUGGGCAGAAGAGUGAUGGUGCAACGCCGCGUAGAGGACGAAGUGCUGCGGGUUGUAAACUGCUUUUAUAAGUGCGGAAUAUGGCGGUAACUUAUGAAUAAGGAUCGGCUAACUCCGUG